rnacentral:tRNA from 1 species
AACAUGGCUCAGUUGGUAGAGCGACGCACUCGUAAUGCGUAGGUCGGGGGUUCAAGUCCCCCUGUUA